rnacentral:rRNA from 1 species
AGAGUUUGAUCCUGGCUCAGGAUGAACGCUGGCGGCGUGCCUAACACAUGCAAGUCGAGCGAUUCUCUUCGGAGAAGAGCGGCGGACGGGUGAGUAACGCGUGGGUAACCUGCCCUGUGCACACGGAUAACAUACCGAAAGGUAUGCUAAUACGAGAUAAUAUGCUUUUAUCGCAUGGUAGAAGUAUCAAAGCUUUUGCGGUACAGGAUGGACCCGCGUCUGAUUAGCUAGUUGGUAAGGUAACGGCUUACCAAGGCGACGAUCAGUAGCCGACCUGAGAGGGUGAACGGCCACACUGGGACUGAGACACGGCCCAGACUCCUACGGGAGGCAGCAGUAGGGAAUCUUCGGCAAUGGGCGAAAGCCUGACCGAGCAACGCCGCGUGAAUGAUGAAGGCCUUCGGGUUGUAAAAUUCUGUUAUAAGGGAAGAAUGGCUCUAGUAGGAAAUGGCUAGAGUGUGACGGUACCUUAUGAGAAAGCCACGGCUAACUACGUGCCAGCAGCCGCGGUAAUACGUAGGGGGCUAGCGUUAUCCGGAAUUACUGGGCGUAAAGGGUGCGUAGGUGGUUUCUUAAGUCAGAGGUGAAAGGCUACGGCUCAACCGUAGUAAGCCUUUGAAACUGGGAAACUUGAGUGCAGGAGAAGGAGAGUGGAAUCCCUAGUGUAGCGGUGAAAUGCGUAGAUAUUAGGAGGACCACCAGUUUGCGAAGGCGGCUCUCUGUACUGUAACUGACACUGAGGCACGAAAGCGUGGGGAGCAAACAGGAUUAGAUACCCUGGUAGUCCACGCCGUAAACGAUGAGUACUAGCUGUCGGAGGUUACCCCCUCCGGUGGCGCAGCUAACGCAUUAAGUACUCCGCCUGGGAAGUACGCUCGCAAGAGUGAAACUCAAAAGGAAUUGACGGGGACCCGCACAAGUAGCGGAGCAUGUGGUUUAAUUCGAAGCAACGCGAAGAACCUUACCUAAGCUUGACAUCCUUUUGACCGAUGCCUAAUCGCAUCUUUCCCUUCGGGGACAGAAGUGACAGGUGGUGCAUGGUUGUCGUCAGCUCGUGUCGUGAGAUGUUGGGUUAAGUCCCGCAACGAGCGCAACCCUUGCCUUUAGUUGCCAGCAUUAAGUUGGGCACUCUAGAGGGACUGCCAGGGAUAACCUGGAGGAAGGUGGGGAUGACGUCAAAUCAUCAUGCCCCUUAUGCUUAGGGCUACACACGUGCUACAAUGGGUGGUACAGAGGGCAGCCAAGUCGUGAGGCGGAGCUAAUCCCUUAAAGCCAUUCUCAGUUCGGAUUGUAGGCUGAAACUCGCCUACAUGAAGCUGGAGUUACUAGUAAUCGCAGAUCAGAAUGCUGCGGUGAAUGCGUUCCCGGGUCUUGCACACACCGCCCGUCA